UACGGAGGGGACUAGCGUUGUUCGGAAUUACUGGGCGUAAAGCGCACGUAGGCGGAUUUGUAAGUCAGGGGUGAAAUCCCGGGGCUCAACCUCGGAACUGCCUUUGAUACUGCAAAUCUCGAGUCCGGAAGAGGUGAGUGGAAUUCCUAGUGUAGAGGUGAAAUUCGUAGAUAUCUGAAGGAACAUCAGUGGCGAAAGCGACUUCCUGGACCAAUACUGACGCUCAUGUGCGAAAGCGUGGGGAG
rnacentral:rRNA from 1 species